CAAUGCUGAGGAGUCCUACUAUAGGACGAAACGGCCGUCCAAUGC
rnacentral:hammerhead_ribozyme from 1 species